rnacentral:rRNA from 1 species
GAUGAACGCUGGCGGCGUGCCUAACACAUGCAAGUCGAGCGAACACUUGCGGAGCUCGCUCCCCUGCCGUUGACGGCGGCCGGGUGAGUAACACGUUGAUUCGCUACCACUAAGACUGGGUUAACCUCGGGACGCCGGAGCCAAUACCGGAUAAUACAUUCUACCGCAUGGUUCGAUAGUGUAUGACGGUUUUGUUGUUACUUUUAGGUGGCUCCGCGCCGCAUUAGCUAGUUGGUAAGGGAACGGCUUACCAAGGCAACGAUGCGUAGCCGACCUGAGAGGGUGAUCGGCCACACGGGAACUGAGACACGGUCCAGACUCCUACGGGAGGCAGCAGUAGGGAAUCUUCCGCAAUGGGCGAAAGCCUGACAGAGCAACACCGCGUGAGGGAUGAAGGUCUUCUGAUCGUAAAGCUCUGUUAGUAGGAAAGAACAAAAGUGUAAGUAACUAUGAACGUCUUGACGGUACCUAAUCAAAAAGCCACGGCUAACUUCGUG